rnacentral:rRNA from 1 species
AUGUCCCAACUCCACGACCACGCAUGUGCGACUAUGUAUACAAGAGUGUGCAACUCCGUGGACGUGGGCACCUCCCACAACAAUUCAUGUGCAACUAUGAAAAUGAGAUUGUGCAAUUGUGUGGCCAUGCAUGUGCGACUAUGCAGACGAGAGUGUGCAACUCCAUGGCCGGGCAUGAGCACCACCCGCAAAAACUCAUGUGCGAUUAUGCGGAGGAGGUUGAGCAACUCCAUCGCCAUGUAUGUGCGACUGUGCCGACGAGAGUGUGCAACUCCGCGGACAUGCGUGAGCACUCCCACGAUAAUUCAUAUGUGA